rnacentral:rRNA from 1 species
CCUACGGGAGGCUGCAGUGGGGAAUAUUGGACAAUGGGGGGAACCCUGAUCCAGUCAUGCCGCGUGUGUGAAGAAGGCCCUCGGGUUGUAAAGCACUUUCAGUGAGGAAGAACGCCUGGUGGUUAAUACCCAUCAGGAAAGACAUCACUCACAGAAGAAGCACCGGCUAACUCCGUGCCAGCAGCCGCGGUAAUACGGAGGGUGCGAGCGUUAAUCGGAAUUACUGGGCGUAAAGCGCGCGUAGGUGGCUUGAUAAGCCGGUUGUGAAAGCCCCGGGCUCAACCUGGGAACGGCAUCCGGAACUGUCAAGCUAGAGUGCAGGAGAGGAAGGUAGAAUUCCCGGUGUAGCGGUGAAAUGCGUAGAGAUCGGGAGGAAUACCAGUGGCGAAGGCGGCCUUCUGGACUGACACUGACACUGAGGUGCGAAAGCGUGGGUAGCAAACAGGAUUAGAUACCCCAGUAGUC